UUGUGUUGUAUUCAUUUCUAUGAGAUAAUAAUUUUGUUCAUAAUGAAAAUAAUUCGAAUUGAACGACAUCCAUAUUUCGUCCUUUAUUAUUUUCAAAACGAUCGAGAAAAAUAACAAUCACGUUGAAUGAAUUCAUUUCAUAGAGACAAGGAGAGAGAGAGAGAGAGAGAGAGAGAGAGAGAGAGAAAGUUAUCGUGGACAAUAAAAAUAGAAUUAACAAAAAGAAAAAAAAAAUACAGAAAAAGAAAAAGAAGAGAAAAUGGGAUGAAAAUAAAAAUAAAAAAACAAAAAAAUAUAGUGAAUGAACAGGAAGGAAGAUCAAUUGGCAUGCGGUAGAAGGUAAAGGAUAAAGAGAUGGCUGCCUCGUGUCGAUGAUGGUGCUCCCUUCUAACAUCGAGCUCUGUAAUUAUCGCCAUCGGCCGUGGGAAUUGAAUUACGAGUCGAUAAAGAUCGAAGGAAGCGAUACGCAGGCGAUAGGUUUUGACAGAAAGGCAAGGUAAGAUCAUCGAUCCAAGCAAGUCGCAGGCGCAAACAGGUUGCUGUGGUCGCGAGAACGCGCCAGGAGAAGAGAUCGUGAAAGCAUCGAACAGGUUCGCAGGAGGUUCCAGAGAAGAGUGAGCACGCCCGCGAACAGCUUCAAAAGAUAAUAGCUCGCGCGCAUGCGCUCAGACCGGGCGAAUGUAUUCUCGAGUAUCAAGUCAAAAUGAUGAUGAUGGGGUUUGAACGACGUCGACGCCUCGAAGCUAAAGAGAGAAGAAAAGGAGAUGAGUUGCAGAUAAAUGCUACAACGAGGGAUAAGAGAGAAGGAGAUAAAAAAGGCAGUGAAAGAGAAAGAGAGAGAGAGAGAGAGAGAGAAAGAUGACAGAUUAUACAAUAUUGCCAGCUAACAUCAGAGCUAAGUUCCCGGAAGCAUGAGGUCAUCUCUGGCGAGCUAACAACUUCCUCUUAACUCCAAAAUGAAGAUGCUUUCUCUUGGGAAUCGUAAACGACGAUCGCGAUUCGACGUUUCUUAAAGAUAAUCUACAUUGAGAUUUGAGAAACUAAGUGUUUUUAUCGAGAGUGUCUCUCGUUCGACUGAACAGGAUCAUCCAUUAAAUACUAUGAGAAUACGAGCUCGUUAUCAUCGUAUUAAUAAUAAUUCAUAGGAAGAGAAAUAACGUUCAGAUUGACCGGAGAUUGACGGGGGAAGAAUAUUGUACAAGACAAAGGAGUCCCAUAUGAAGGCACACGCACGGAAGUCAACUGUCCGUGGACGACAAAUCGUUUAACUUCAAUAUGACUCAUGGUACACUUCGUUGGAUAAUAUAAUUAUUCUUCGAGUUCAUCAAAGCAGCAUGAAAUCUUAUCAGAAGGAUGGGAACACUUGGAAAUCAUCGGACCAUCAAUUUAAGAGACACAAAGAAGACAGAAUUAUCAUCAAGAGGAUAUGGAACAAUCGGAAAUCAUUUGUAACAUUAUAAAAUACAAGUAUCUGUAAAAUAAAACAUUAUGAAAGAGAGAAAAUGAGAGAGACAAAGUGAGUGUGUAUGUGUAUGUGUGUGUGAGAGAGAGAGAGAGAAAGAGAGUGCGGGAGCGACUAAAAAAGAAGAAAAAAAGAGAGAAGAAAACGGAGAGAGAGAGAGUGUGAGAGAGACAAGAAAAGAGAGAAUUAAACUUCAAUAUAGCAAUACUUAAUGACCAACAAUGCAUUGUAUUGCGUUAACUUACAAAUAAUUAUAUAAUUUUGUACUAUGCUCAUAUUAUAUCAUAUUAUACUGCAAAUUAUCCAUAUCGAAAGCGAUUAAUUGUAUAAUUAUUGAAUGCAAUGUAUUUCUUAUGUAUUCCAGAUGAAAAAAAUAUAAAUAAAAACGUUUUAUAUUAA